CUUGUACUCGAGCUUCAGACAAGUUUAUUUGAAGAGCUACUUCUUCUCUAAGAAACACGUCUGGAUAAUGUGUUUUUUGAAAAAGUCCUUCAAGUUCUUGAAGUUGCUGUGGUGUAAAGGUAGAAUUUUGAUUACACUUGCCUGUCGACGUCUGCCAAACAUAUAUUCUGACAAGAGAUCUCCAGGCAGCGGUGAUAAGUAAGGUCCUCCGGCCAUUGUGAUGUAAGGGAUGAAUAUGAUUUCGAAAUUUAACUGACAAUACAGAUACAUCCCUUUGGAAAAUCGCAACCCUACAAGAACUACCACUAUUGGUCACAAACGAUAGCCAAUGGUAGCGCUAGGUGAAACGCAGGGUGAGAUUCACACUGCGCUUAGAAGACGAAAAGUUAGAAUUAUCUAUGUACUAGUAAGGAAUAAAACAAGUUACGUAUAUGCAAGCAAAAAAAACGCACAUACAUAAAAGAUAAAUUAUCAAUAAAAAAAAAUCUGGUCAACAUGAUUUGUUAUUAAAUGGAUAUUAUAACAGUACUCAUAAAUAUAUUAAACCUAUAAUACUUUGAAAUACCCUUUUAACAUACUACCCCUUUUAAUAAAUAUAUUGUACUCUUAACGA